rnacentral:rRNA from 1 species
AUUGAACGCUGGCGGCAGGCCUAACACAUGCAAGUCGAGCGGUAACACAGGGAGCUUGCUCCUGGGUGACGAGCGACGGACGGGUGAGUAAUGUCUGGGAAACUGCCUGAUGGAGGGGGAUAACUACUGGAAACGGUAGCUAAUACCGCAUAACGUCGCAAGACCAAAGAGGGGGACCUUCGGGCCUCUUGCCAUCAGAUGUGCCCAGAUGGGAUUAGCUAGUAGGUGGGGUAACGGCUCACCUAGGCGACGAUCCCUAGCUGGUCUGAGAGGAUGGCCAGCCACGCUGGAACUGAGACACGGUCCAGACUCCGACGGGAGGCAGCAGUGGGGAAUAUUGCACAAUGGGCGCAAGCCUGAUGCAGCCAUGCCGCGUGUAUGAAGAAGGCCUUCGGGUUGUAAAGUACUUUCAGCGGGGAGGAAGGCGAUAAGGUUAAUAACCUUGUCGAUUGACGUUACCCGCAGAAGAAGCACCGGCUAACUCCGUGCCAGCCGCCGCGGUAA